GGGGGGCACCCUGGGUGUGAGCCAAUCAUCCGUUAGCCGAGUGGUCAGAGAUGUCACAAAUGCACUCUGUAGAAGAGCACGGCAGUUCAUCAAGUUUCCAGCAACAGACGCAGAAUGCAUUCAAACCAAACAGAAAUUCUGUGAAAUAGCUGGAUUUCCAAACGUGCUGGGGGCAGUUGAUGGGACACAUAUUGCAAUCAAAGCACCAAGUGAUGAGGAGGAUGGCUUUGUCAAUAGAAAGAACUUCCACUCCAUUAACACUCAGGUGAUCUGUGAUGCAACACUAAGGGUUACUGACCUUGUGGCAAGGUGGCCAGGCAGUACCCACGACUCCUUCAUAUUGAUGAAUUCGGGAACAGGCAUAAAAUUUAAUGAAGGAGAAAUGCCAGAUGGAUGGUUGUUAGGUGAUAGUGGCUACGCUCUACGACCAUGGCUGAUGACUCCAAUCCUCCACCCAGCAACAGAGCCUGAACAGCGCUACAGCCGUGCGCAACGCAAAACCAGAAGUGUUGUGGAGAGGUGCAUUGGGGUUGUCAAAUCCAGAUUUCGAUGCAUUGACCGCUCUGGUGGAGUGCUCCAAUACACCCCUGAAAAGGGGUGUAAAAUCAUCACCUGUGCCUUCAUCCUGCACAACAUCUGCAUGAUGUACCGGCUGCCUCUUCCGGAUGUUCCAGACCACCAUGAACCAGAGGGAGAUGGCCCCGUCCCCGCCCCAUGUAAUACCGGCAUUCAAGUGAGACAAGAGCUUGUAAGGAGGAGAUUCAUGUGAAUAAAUAAAUAAUAAACGACACCUGAAAAUCUAUGAGCAAUUUCUUUUAUUAUUAAUAUUACUAAUAC